AUCCAGGUGACGAGUCCCAAAUUGGACGAGACACGUGUCCUGGAC
rnacentral:hammerhead_ribozyme from 1 species